rnacentral:rRNA from 1 species
GACGAACGCUGGCGGCGUGCUUAACACAUGCAAGUCGAACGAUGAAGCUGGAGCUUGCUCCGGUGGAUUAGUGGCGAACGGGUGAGUAACACGUGAGCAAUCUGCCCUUGACUCUGGGAUAACUGCGGGAAACUGUAACUAAUACCGGAUACUUUCACUGGAAGGCAUCUUCUGGUGAAGAAAGAAUUUCGGUCAAGGAUGAGCUCGCGGCCUAUCAGCUUGUUGGUGAGGUAACGGCUCAACAAGGCGACGACGGGUAGCCGGCCUGAGAGGGUGGCCGGCCACACUGGGACUGAGACACGGCCCAGACUCCUACGGGAGGCAGCAGUGGGGAAUAUUGCACAAUGGGCGCAAGCCUGAUGCAGCAACGCCGCGUGAGGGAUGAAGGCCUUCGGGUUGUAAACCUCUUUUAGCAGGGAAGAAGCGAAAGUGACGGUACCUGCAGAAAAAGCACCGGCUAACUACGUGCCAGCAGCCGCCGUAA